CUGUCUUUAUCUUGCUGAUGGCCAACUUCUCCUUGUGUCCUCACAUCAUCUUCCCUCUGUGUGUGCCUGUGCCUGCACCUGUGUGCAAAUUUCCCCCUUUUAGAGGGACUUCGUUAAAACGACCUCAUUUCAACUUAGCUAUCUGAUGACCCUAUUUCCAGUUACUGUCAUGUACUGACGUGCUUGGGGGCCAGGAUUUCAAUGGGUGGAGGAGGAGCACACAAUUCAGUGCACAACGUCUGCCCUGUACAGUGAUUUGUAGAUAGGUGUCUGGGGAGUUUUAGAAACACCUAGAACUAAUCACGGUGCCAGUGUGUACUGCCCGGAAAUCACAGCUGCAUUUCUGCACCAGGGGCUAUCUCUAGUCUACCCCGCACCAUCUGGGCUGAACAAGGGCCUUGGUCAUGGAAACCUGGUUAUCACGAGAGGCCCAGAAGUGGAGAGUUGGAUUUUAGCACUGAACAUCCUGACCCAGGAGCAAGGAAAAUUAAAAACGGACAAGAUCUGCAUUCCCUGCUCCACCCUUCUGGGACACCCUCCUACAGGUCAUGAGUUUCCUAGGCAGCUUCAGAGAUCAAGGCCUCACUGUGGCCAUUGGGUUGUCACUGAGCUGCCAAAGAUCUUGACUCUAGAAACCUCCCAUCCUUCAGAACUGAAGCGUGGACCAUGGAGUGUGCAUAAGGCUGGGCUGGAGGGAGCCUGAGGAAACCGCUCUGUGACCGCAGAGAGCCAGACAGAUCCAGAAGUGCUGGGUGCUCUUGGCUGAGGCUGUGGACCUGAAUCCUGGAUACAACACACACAUGUAUGAUCCACUGGUGA